GUAAACACGACCACAUAAAAUAAUUGAGUGCAACUCGCGAAAGAAACUUUCGGGACAACCUAAUAUUAUAGUCUAACUCGUAAAUAUUUUUAGCUCCCUGAACUUCGUACAAGUAAUUACGAUGAUACUUGAGACGAUUCUUCCAAAACCCCAGCAGAGGGUUAAAUGUCGGGAGUAAAUCGCUGUGAGUUUUAUGAGACGUCUGUUACAGUGGAGGAAUUAAUCAGCGCGUGGUGGUACUCCGUAUAAUAUGGGUUAAUUGCAUUAAUCGUUGGUUCAAUUCAAGGGAAGAUCAAAGCGUGGUGGUCAAGUGGAGCAAUUCAAUUACGAACCGAUUCAGUGUCUCGCAAGGUCGCUUCUUGGAUUCUAUUCCUUGCUGAAAUGACCUCCGUCGAGUAUUGCUUUCGUAAGAAGAAUUUUAAGUCCUUGGACUUGCACGAUGGAACUAUUAGUACGCCAGUAGAUCGAAAAUGCUUCGGAAAUUUCGUAAGGGUUCUAAUCAUUUUUUUUACUUACUAUUGUUUAUCACAAAAACUAAAUGUAGAAAAAUAAUACUCCUUUUUUCUCAACAAUAUCGUUAGAUUCUUUAUUCUUGGGUUUUUUCUUGUUUCUUAGUUUUGAAAGUAAGUUCAGUUUAGUUGGCAAAAAUUCUUAUUCUUGAAUAUGUUUAUUAUUCAUUCUACAUUUCAAGAGAUCAAACAAUAAUACUAACUGAUAAACUUUUGCUUUGAAAAUUUCGUACCAAUAGUUUCAUGGCGAUAGUCAUAACGAUGCUAAUAACUUUUUUAUGUUCCAUUGUUUGUCACAAAAAUCAAAUACAACAAUGCAAUGCAUACAAUAAUAUUUAACUCGUACAUUUAAAACAUUUAUGUUGCAAAUAUUAGAAUAUUUUCGUGAUUAUCUCAUUAAAUCUAGAAUAUUAACAUUAAUUUGAACGAUAAUAGCGAUCCUCUGGAUUUUCAAUGUUCGUAGACUGCGUCGAGCAGCUUCGUGCUCCGUGUGAAAUUUAAUUUUAUCGAUGCUACGAAUAUCAGACACACAAUGCACAAUGACGGUACUCGCUACCUCUGCAUGUCGACCUAUUGCGACAAUCGAAUGAAAUUGUCAUGUCGGUACUAACCGUAUAUCUGCAUUGUGUGUUACGAUUCAUUUAUAAAAUCACGAGGAAAUAUGAUAUAUGGAAUCGUGAUAGUUAACUAGUGUAUUGUAUUACCGACGUUCCCCACGUGUAAAGUAAUAUUUGCAACGAAGUAUGUGGAAGGAUGGAGUACGUUUAUAUCGAAAAAGGAUGGUUUCGGUCGCAAUGAUAAUUCAUUGAAGGAAUCACGCAGCAUACUAAAGAAAUUUACUUUGUAUUUGGAACUUAGGGAUUUUUUUUUUUUUAAAUUGAGCACUACAAAAAGUAGAAAUUAUGAAUGUUCACUUGUGUUAGAUUUUUAUCUGGUUGAAUGGUAUUGUUAAUCCCUUAACUCUUUGGGGCACGGUGAGAUUAAAAGUGUCCCACCUUUUUGAUGGACCGUAAUGCACGGUGGAACAUUUUUAAUCCCACCUCGAAAUUUUGCCAUAGCUGCAUGUGUACAGGUUUAUAUUUCGCCUUAUUUACGUAAAGCAGAUGGUAAUAUAUUCAUCCAAUGUUACAAAUGUAUGCACGUUAUGUUGACAAUGUUAUGUUGACAACUUUCAACAUGCUAAUACCGGUUCAACAAUUGUUGGAAGCGGAAGGUUUAUUGCGAUGAUAUUUCUUUCUUGGUUUUAUGUGAAAAAUCGUAGAGGUAAGUUAAUUUAUAUAAAAAUUAGUUCUAUAUAAACAAGUGAAGUGUUUUAUAAUAAAAACUAGAUUAAAUUUGUUUGCAAAUGAUGAAAGUAUGGUGGAAUUUUAUUCGUCCCACCAUGCAACUUGGGGAGCAAUACAAAAAAACAUAUUUUUAUUUAUUGUUUAUGUUUUAAUAUUCUUAAAACUAUGAAUGUGACGCCCCUUGUUAUUAUAUUUAUUUUGUUACAUUAUAUGAUACCUUUAUUAACAAAAAUAUAACAAUUUUGUUUGAUUUGAAACGCAAUAAAAUUCCUGUGCAACAUGAGUCUAUUUUAUGACCUGAAUUCCUGUGCCGCAAAGAGUUUAACCUACAGCCUGAGAUCAAAACUUAAACAAGAUCGCUCAGCCUUCGAGCCAUUCCACGGUUCGGCAAAUCGGACCUAACAAUAAGUUGUACCAAUCGCGCACGACUUACAGAAUCGAAGUACAUGUGUAAGAUACAACUAGUUUAAUUUUGCGAAAUAUUUGAUAAUUAAUUACAACCUGAUGAAAUAACUGUGAUAGAUAUACCACAAGAUGUUUAUUAUCUAUCAAUAAAGUAUAACACAAAUCAAUAACAUUUAUCUCUAAUGUCUGAAUAAAUUAGCAAUUCAAAUAAUUAGCGAUUAUACAAAAAUGAACAAUCGUCAAUGGUGUGACGCUCCUAAUGUUUACAUUGAGCCCGAAUACAAGACCACGUGGCUCACACGUAGCUGUAGGUUAAGGGGUUAAACUAAAUUUAAAAUAAAAAUUAAGAAUUAUGAAAUUGUUCAUAGUAUUACAUUUUUGUCUAAUUGAAUCACAUUGUAAAAAUGAAUCGAGAACAAUAAUUAGACAUUACGAAAAUAUUCACUGCAUCCGAUUUUGAUCUAGAUGUGUCACAUAUAUUUAAACUAAAUUGUCUUGUUUAUCAUAUAAAACUUAGAACAGAAGAGGAUGUAAAACCCUAAAUUACUGUAGCAUGUUAAUCAGUUACGCUGCAGGAAGUAGACUACGCGAACCGGUAAUUGAUUAGGCUUGAGUUCUGCAAUGUGUCAAUGGCAAUCAUUCUGUGAAUGAUGGUAAAUUGUUUUGACUAGCCUUCAAACAUUUAUUAUUACAGAUUUAUGUAAUCUAUUAAUUCAGGAAUUGUUUCUGAAGAGGGUUUUUCCAAUAAAAGAAAAGAAAAAAAUAAUAAAUGCUCGAAGAAUACUCAGGAUGAAUUACUUGUAUUAUUCGACAAGCAUUUUGUUGUCUAAUUUUCGUCGUCUUGAAAACUUAUUGUAGAAUAUGUUAGUAAAGCGUAGAUAUCUUACGGUUACAUCUUAUAUUCAUUAUUUUCUUUAUUAUUUUUAUUCUUAUUCUUUUCUAAUACUUGUUAUCCUUUCAUACUUAUAUUUGUUAUUUUUUUCAUUCUCUUUUUCUAAUACUUAUUAUCCUUGCAUACUUAUAUUUGUUAUUUUUAUCAUUCUCUUUUUCUAAUACUUAUUAUCCUUUCAUACUUACAUUUGUUAUUUCUAUCCUUUUCCUUUUCUUUAUUGAUUAAUUAUAACACUUCAUGUUUCCAGUAUUUCCUUCUAGUUUUCACUAAUUUAUUUUAUUCUUUUCUCUAAUUAAUAUCGUUUCUUUUAGAUCAGGCCUGUCCACGGGUGGAGCCCCUCGCGCAGUUCCUUCCCCCACUACCGCGCAUGGAGGGAGUAAGAGCUGAGAGAGAAAGACGUCAGUAUAGAUCAGAACGUAGAGCAGAGUAGAUCGAGAUAGUCUGCGCCGUCGGAGAACGCGCAUCCUAAUUGCUAUAGAGUGGGGGAAGCUCUUGGGCACGUGCACCACUCGCAGUGGACAAGUGUCUUCCAGAUUAUUAAGGAAACAAUUGGCUGAACGCGUGCUACUCAAAGAUAAAAUUCCAUCCAGUACGACUCGCUUUGCGGCAAAUAAGUACGAGUGCUAAGAGGGAAUCCACCUGCAUAACCCAGUCAUUGGUUAGCCAUCCCGACGAAGAAGGCUGCGAAAAUGAUUUCCUUGACUCGAUCGUCGAGGAACAAAUUGGGGGCUAAGGUCAGACCUCGUGUGUGUGACCUUACUGACUGGAGGCGACUCGUGUGCACAAUUCACAGCACUGUACCAUUAGUAUAGUUACCUCCUCCCUCUUUUCGUCACAUCGAGCCGAGUCGUGCUAGCGCGCGCGCGCGCAUAUAUAAUGGAGUCAUACACGAUGACCGAUCUGAAUUAACCACAUCCUGUCCGCUCUGUCGUGUGACAUUAAUGUCAUUGCCGUCGGACUGGGAGGAUCGGGCAAAAUAGACGGAAGAAUCGUCUUAAAUGUCUCGACCUCGUACUGACCAUUUCCUCUUAAAAAACAGAAAUUAUAAUAUGCCGCCUAUAAACGACGUGACGCACUGGACUCAUUAGCCAUAUUGAUGACAGACUUUUACUGUUCUUAGAAAAUCUGUAGAAAAAGUACCGACACAUGGUAUUAGGAGAAUUACUGUCGACUAAUUAUGAAUUUAAGCGGAUACGACAAUGUAAUGGUACGCAAAUGAAAGGUAUUUUCAAAAAGUAUUUAUAAAAACAACUGUACGAUAGAUUGUUUUCAAGUUUUCAUUAUUUUGUUAUCAUUUGUUCUCCAUUUGAGAAUCAAUAUUUUAUUACUGUAUACAGAGCAUCUGUACUGCCGUGCACAAUUCUCAAAAAACUAAUUUGGGGAAAUCUAACCAGCGCCCUCGCCGAGAAAGUACCCGAGUUUGUAGUGAAAUAAUUCGUACUAUCAUUGAUAGAUGUCGGCACAAAUCAUUUAUAUGUGGCGACCUCUACUUCCACGAGACUCAAAGAAAAGCGCGUAGCUUUUCGAUAAAGACAUCUUCCACCGAUAGGCGGGAAAAAUCCAGGAAACGCCUAACGCCACCUUUUUCACAGUUUUAUCUUCUUCCGAAAAGCGAAGGAGAAAAUCAGUUGGUGGAUAGCGCUUGCAAAGAGAACAUCAAAGACAGUAAAAGAGAUAAAGUCGUUUUCUUGUAAAAAUCUUACAAAAAAGUGUAUAUAGUUUAUUCUGUAUAUAAACAUAUAGUUUUUCUGUGUAUAAUAAAAAUAGUAUAGCCGUGUGAAAAUCGUGUACAUAAUAUAUAUAUCCUUCCGCGCCUUCUAAAUAUGCUCCUGCUUAAACGUCGAUAAAAUAGAACUCGAUUAAAUCAAUUAAACAGCCACAUAUAUGAGCACACACGUCAAGGAAAAGUGCGUGAAUUUCCUCAAUUAACGUUUUCCAUCGGAAUGCGGGAAAACCAAGCAUAUAACAAUAUAGGGACCGGUCAUAGCUGAACCCGGAGAGGAGAUAUGUCCGCCAUAUUACGUUGCUAUUGCGAAUUCAUGAGACUGCUAGAUAUCUGUAUAGAGUCUAUAGUCUAUGGCUAAACGCCCAUCCCUAUUCCCCGGUUUCCGACAAGAACUUCAUUCAUUAUUGUUAGCAGCAGUUUCCGGAAUAGUCCAAAGUAACCGAAAGUUAUCCGUGUGAUAACCGAAUGUACAGAACAAAUAGUUUAAAUUGCCACCACACAGGGGCAUCCAGCCCCUAUGAAAU